rnacentral:tRNA from 1 species
ACAUUGGUAGAUCAAUGGUAGAAACCUUACCUCCCAUGCAAGAGACCCAGGUUCAAUUCCUGGCCAAGGUA